GACGAACGCUGGCGGCGUGCUUAACACAUGCAAGUCGAACGGUGAAGCGCUUGCCUUUUUGGUGGGUGUGGAUGAGUGGCGAACGGGUGAGUAACACGUGAGUAACCUGCCCUCUUCUUCUGGAUAACCUCAUGAAAGUGGGGCUAAUACGGGGUAUUCCGGGUCUGUCGCAUGGCGGGUUUGGGAAAGAUUGCGCCUUUGGGUGUUUUCGGUGGGGGAUGGGCUCGCGGCCUAUCAGCUUGUUGGUGGGGUGAUGGCCUACCAAGGCGGUGACGGGUAGCCGGCCUGGGAGGGUGGACGGCCACACUGGGACUGAGACACGGCCCAGACUCCUGCGGGAGGCAGCAGUGGGGAAUAUUGCACAAUGGGCGCAAGCCUGAUGCAGCGACGCCGCGUGAGGGAUGGAGGCCUUCGGGUUGUGAACCUCUUUCGCCAGUGAAGCAGGCCUGCUCCUGUGUGGGUGGGUUGACGGUAGCUGGAUAAGAAGCGCCGGCUAACUACGUG
rnacentral:rRNA from 1 species